rnacentral:tmRNA from 1 species
CCGGGCAUCGCCUAUGUGGGAAACGCCGCGCGGGAAGCGUUGCCCGCGCGGGCGUAUCAUGAAGCUACCGAUCCGGCGGGGGAGUCUGUUCGCCAGCCGGUGAUUGGGAAAUGCGGUAAACCUCCCUUCGGGAGUUUAACCACCAACAACAGACUAUGAUAGUAGAAGGACAGGGAAUGGGCUUUUGGACACGGGUUCGACUCCCGUCUACUCCACUC